CGGAACGGGUGAGUAACGCGUGAGGAACCUGCCUCAAAGAGGGGGACAACAGUUGGAAACGACUGCUAAUACCGCAUAAGCCCACGGCUCGGCAUCGAGCAGAGGGAAAAGGAGUGAUCCGCUUUGAGAUGGCCUCGCGUCCGAUUAACUAGUUGGUGAGGUAACGGCCCACCAAGGCAACGAUCGGUAGCCGGACUGAGAGGUUGAACGGCCACAUUGGGACUGAGACACGGCCCAG
rnacentral:rRNA from 1 species